rnacentral:rRNA from 1 species
GAUGAACGCUGGCGGUAUGCCUAACACAUGCAAGUCGAACGGAGUUCUUCGGAACUCAGUGGCGGACGGGUGAGUAACGCGUGAGAAUCUGCCAUUUGGAUGGGGAUAACAGAGGGAAACUUCUGCUAAUACCCAAUAUGCCGAGAGGUGAAAUAUUUUCUUGCCAAAUGAGGAGCUCGCGUCCGAUUAGUUAGUUGGUGGGGUAAGAGCCUACCAAGGCAGCGAUCGGUAGCUGGUCUGAGAGGAUGAGCAGCCACACUGGGACUGAGACACGGCCCAGACUCCUACGGGAGGCAGCAGUGGGGAAUUUUCCGCAAUGGGCGAAAGCCUGACGGAGCAAUACCGCGUGAGGGAGGAAGGCUUUUGGGUUGUAAACCUCUUUUAUUAAGGAAGAAGCAAGUGACGGUACUUAAUGAAUCAGCAUCGGCUAACUCCGUGCCAGCCGCCGCCGUA